UUCUUAUCACUCCAUCAGACACCCAUCCUAGGAUUGUUAGGGAGUUCUAUGCAAACCUACACACCUUUACCCGUCACACUCCCCCCCACCUGGUCAGCUUUGUAAAUGGUCAGAGAGUUUUCCUCACUCCUGACAUCAUUGCUCGGCAUCUAGGUGUCUCCAACUCUGGGGCUGUUGUCUCUACCACUCAUAAGUGGAUCACUGGUGAGGUCUCUUCCCUUCACCAGACUAGGAUUAUUUCAGGAGACGUAGAUCGUGAGGAGCCCUCUAGGCUUAAGGCCUGUGACCUCAACACUCUCCCUAAAGUUGUUCACCACAUAGUCACCUAUGAGAUUCUCCCUAGAUCGGGUCAUAGGACUGCACUCUCCUACUCUGACAUGUUUGUAGUAUCUUGUCUGCUAGAGGG
rnacentral:lncRNA from 1 species